CAUUUCUAUCUGUCAUUAAAUUGAAGUAUUAUUGAAUAAGUGAAUCAGUAUAAUAUGGAAUGUAAGAACACAAAUACUCAAAUCUUUUUUGUUGUUCAUACAAAACUUUUAAUUAGGAUGAAAGAAACACGUGUGUUUAAAAAUGACGCUAUCAACGACUACACGUAGAGGUUAUUGUUGAAUUUUUAAUAAAUGGCGUAAAAUACAAAAUCGUUUUGAUGUACUAAUUUCGUGGUCAACAUUAUAAAAAGAAGAAAUUUCUCCAUAAAAGGAAUACCAAAACUUUAUUAAAUUGUUGAAUCGCGGAGUUUGUCUGAAAAGUUUCUAAUGUCAUAUAUUUUGCAUAGAAAGUCCUUUUCCUCAACGUAUGUCAGAAUAUGUCAGUGAACAAGAGGAAAUUUUGAAAUUGACGCAACAAAUAAAGGAAGUUUGAAUUUUAAAUGUUUUUGUUUUAUCAGCGUUACCCCCUCUCGACAAACACAAAAACUUGUUUUUUCUUUCCUUUAAUUUUACUGAAUUUAUAUCUGCAACGGGCAACAAUCGAUUUUUUUUUUAGUAAUAAUUGUUCUGUUUUUAUUGAUGAAUUUCUCUUUCCUUACAUCCCAUUCCCGUGAAUCUUUUGCAAACCAAAACAAAAAUUAUUUUUAACUUUGAAGGGCGCCGUGUAUCCUCCAUUUUGAUCUUCGCUUAAUCUACAGCGUUCAUAGUAACGUUAUGGGCGGGCGGGCGGCCAAUGGACUGUUGAGCACAUAGACCCAUCGUGUCCCACUUAGCGUUACUAGUUACGGGCGGCCAAUGGGCCGUUGAGCACAUAGACCCCCGUUGUGCCCCACUUGGCGUUACUAAAGGCCGAUGGGUCGUGGGGAUGAAAUUUACGCGCUUUAACUUCAAGGGGUGCAAUUGACAUCUUUGAAAAUGCUCAAAUCUAUCAAAUAAAAAAAAUAUUGAAUGGCCACUUUAAUAGAAACGUGACAAAAUUACGCGAAUCAAGCUUGGAUUCAAUUAUACGUUUACUGGGUGAUAGUUUAUAUUUAAUUGUGGACGGCCAAAGGAUUGUUAAAGACAGUUCUUCGGAUAGGCCCAUCGUGCGCCUUUGACGUUACCAAAUGCCGAUCUCCUUUGAGAAAUGGAUCAGGUAUUUGGCUUGAACCAUUUGAUGUCAUUAGGCAAACUGUGAUACACUCGCAGAAAGACCUAAUCUACGGUUUCAUCAUUCUCCUUGCAUCAGCGGCACUUCGGAUCUACAUUGAUGCCCAUGGUGUAGAGAUUACGUCUCAGGUGACCGUGUCCGGUUAAAAGUAUUGUAACUAAUCUGUUUUCGCUUUUAUCGUGCCAGAUGUCUAUCAAUAUCUUUCGUAAUUUUGGUCUCCGAUUUGACAUUUUUAGUUUAUAAGUGUCUGGAACACUGUAAAUGUCAAUAAAUAGAACUAUAUAACUUUUAGUAUAAGUAAUGUAAAGCCUAUAACCAUAUUUUCAAAUUUACCGCUAAAACUAAGAUCAAAAUGACAGCUUACGCAUGUGACACCUAUUCUUCCCUCCACACAUCUUGUGACACGCAGAAAAUAUGGCAGAACUUUCAAUAAUGUCACCAUUUAUGUAUGUUGAAAUGAUAAUUUGUAGGUUAUUUUUUAUAGUGACGUAAACGUUAUCUAUGAUAGGAAUAUAAAGGAUAUUACGAAUAAAUCAUAGUUAACAUAUAUAAUUUAUUGUGUUAGAAUUAUACAGUUUUUUUUUUAAAUAAUAUUAUAUUAACAUGGAAAAUGUGACAUCUACCUAUAAAAAUAAAUGACUAUCACAGAUUAGAAUCCA